rnacentral:rRNA from 1 species
ACUCAAAUGAAUUGACGGGGACCCGCACAACCUGUGGAGCGUGUGGUUUAAUUCGAGACGAAACGAAGGACCUCACCAGGGCUUGACAUACUAUCGUUUAUUUUCCUGGAAACAGGGAGAAAUCCGCAAGGAUGAUAGUACAGGUGCUGCAUGGCUGUCGUCAGCUCGUGCCGUGAGGUGUUCCCUUAAGUGGGGAAACGAGCGCAACCCCCAUCCAAUGUUACACUGUUCAUUGGAAACUGACUUUACUUUGUAAAGAAGGAAGGAGGGGUAGACGUCAAGUCAGCACGGCCCUUAUGCCCUGGGCCACACACACACUACAAUGGCGAAGAACAACGAGUUGCAACACGGCGACGUGAAGCUAAUCUCUAAAAUUUCGCCUCAGUUCAGAUCGGAGUCUGAAACCCGACUCCGUGAAGCCGGAAUAGGUAGUAAUCGCGGAUCAGCAAGCCGCGGUGAAUACGUUCUCGGGUCUUGUACACACCGCCCGU